rnacentral:ribozyme from 9 species
UUUUUUUUUUUUUUUUUUUUUUGUACCUGGAAAAAAAUGUUUUGUUUAGACAGGAAGCAUGUUCGAAACGAAUUUAAAGCUCAAACAUGUCAACGAGGU